UACAAAUUGCUCUCUCAAAACGCUUACUAAAACCCCUUCCAGAGUCAUUUUUUAUUCACAUGGAUGGGUUUGGUCAUUUUGGACACACACCCUAUGUCAUGUGGUCAUCGUGGGGGCUAAGUGAGACCUGAUUCCUUUUUAAGGAAAAUAUGAGGGUUGAUGUCCUGGCCCAGCCUGGAGCAGAGCCACCACAAGGAGAUUUAUUUUAGGUAAUUGAAGGAGUUGUCCAGAGUCAGUCAUUAGUUUUACAGAGAGUUCAGUUCCUACAGGGGAAAAUAACGAUGGUGUGUUGUGAGCCUCUUUCACUGGUGACCACAGCUGCAGACAUCCAGGCCAACUGGGCUGCCUAAAUAUCACCUGGUGUUUCAUGGGAGAUUCCCUCAAUCAGAUGUAUAAACCCUCGGGAGUUACAAACCCAGACAUACCAAGGAAUGCCAAACCUGACCGUGCCUAGAGCUAAUGCUCCUUCCCCAAUCACAGGUUGAUCUGUGUGGUUUCUAGUGUCAGGAGAUCAAUAUGCACACAACUGUUUUCCAAGCAGACCAGGGAGAGACGAUAGCUGUGCACCCCUAUUUCUAUACAAAUAGCCUUACUAAGCACCACUUAAGCAGGAGUGGCCACCAAAAGUAGAUGUUUCAGGGAGGGAAUGAUUAAUUCAAGGAUGUACUCAAUUAUGGGCAAGAUGGAGUUUCCGCUGGGCAUGGUGGCUCCCUGCAAUUAGAAAAGCUGAGGCAGGAGGAUCCCUUGAGUCCGGGAGUUAAUCUGUUAAAUGAAAAGGAAAGAAAGAAAAAGAAAAAAGAUGGAGUCUAUACAUCUCUUUUAGCCAUUGAUGAUAUUACUAAAAAUGCAAUGUUGAGAAGCCAAGGGACAGGACAGCCCAGAAACCCACAUUUGGUCCAUAGUACCUGGUACCAGUGAAAUAAGAAAGUUGGAAACAAUCUUCCUCUCUGCUUUUCUUCCUCAGCAUUUUCUUUCCAAAAUCUGACAUGUUUUACAGAGGUGUGUUACCCUGACAUUGCCUGCAGAUGAUCAGACAAUCAAGCUUCCAGAUUGGGGUUUUGGUUCUAUUUUCCAAGGGCAUUGGAGUAGGUAGCUUUUAGGGAAAAGGUGCCCUGGAGCACCUGAAUUCUUUGCCAUCUUUCUGUCUUAGUUUCUAACCCACUCAUCAGUGGAGUGGCAAAGGAGGGGUCUGGCUUUCCAUCUCAUCCAUAGAAUAAGUAGCCAGCAUUUAUGAUUCCAAACUUUCAACAGUUUGGCCGUUCAGUUUCCUGUAAGUUCCCCUUAAAGAAUCAACUAUGACAUUGCUUUCU
rnacentral:lncRNA from 1 species